AUAGUCCAAGCCACAGCACAGUGUGCAAAACUUUUCUUCUCUAUCUUUCUCGACAUCCUUUCUCUUUGACAUGAUCCUUAUCUCUCGGGGCAAGCAGGAAAGAAAAGUGAAAGAUGUUGGAAGAGAAACAGAAGAACAAGAGAGAAGCAGGAAACUGUGUAGCUGUAGGAAAAAAAGAUGAAGAGGAAGACAAAAGGGACGGAGAGAUCAAGAAAAAGGAACGAGCCAAGCAGAAUGACAAACUGAGGGAAACAGGAGGGAAAAAAAGAUGUUGCAGGGUGAGGAGGCAGCAAGCUCCAGCCAUCUGACUACCGAUCACAACACCAACCUCCCCUCCACCUCCACCUAUGGAAGUCUGCCCUAGAGGAUCUC